AAUAAGAAUAAAAAUAAAGAAUUUGCUACAAUAAAUUAGUUAUGGCAGGGAUUGUCAUACUGUUUUUAAUGUGCUGCGAUUAUGUUUGGUUAUUCAAUGAUUAAUCAUUGCAAACGCAAUGCAAUGCAAUUAACAUUUUACAUUAUAUUUAUUUAAUUGUUUGUUUGUUUGUUUAUUUAUUUAUUGGUUGGUUGGUUGGUUGGUUGGUUGGUUUAUUGAUAGAUUUUUAUUUUAUUUUUUUUAUUAAUAAAUCCAACAAUUACUACCGCUGACGUCACUGUAAGGCGCGAUCCAUUGCGAUUUUACACUUGGUAAGUAGAACAGACAUCAAUAUAGACGGGAACAAUCCUUAAAUUUGCGUAGUAAUAAUCGUUCAAUCACGGUAAAAUUUUGUGUUUAGAACCUUUAGAAGUGUCUCACGGCAUUUCGUGAUUUGGUCACGAAAUUUAAUCUAUUUAUUCGUGGCAGGAACACGUUUAUUUCGUUAUUUUCGUAAUUCCAGCACGUUUUUUAAACUAAUGUAUUUCAAUUGGAUGGAUCUUUCGUGCAUAUAGCACGAUUUUUUCUGCCAGUCGGGCUGCAGUAGGGAAGCUAAACAUUUAUUCACAAGAUCUUAUCAAGACUGCAAUAUAUAAGAAUAAAUAGGAAUCGUCAACAAUUAACGAUCUAUGCCAGCGCAAGUCAAUAUUUAUCUGGUCAUUUUCAACUGGUUUUUAAUGUUAAAAGUCCCUCGCAGUCAACAGCUGUUUCCGGUGAGUUCUCAACUGCAGGAUCAAUAGCAUUCAGCAGUGAGUUUAACAACGCUCAAAUGUGGGUAAAAUAACAUUCAGAGAGGAGUUUUAUUAAAACAGCGUUCAACUGCAUGUAAGACAACCUUUUAGAGGUGAGUUUAACAACGCUCCACGGCGCGUGAGAUUAAGUAUUUUAAGCGUUUUCUGAUCAUGUAUUGCUUAUUAGACGUGAUGCAUGCUGGGUGUUAAAUAAUUUUUAUCAAAUGAUCGUUGAUGUUAAUAAAUAUAGAUCUAAAUAUACAUUUUACUUGUGUUCGAUUAAUUAAUAAGUUGUUUAAUUAUUAAUUUGUUUAUUUAAAGUCCUGUAAUAACUGUGACGUCAUCGAAUGAGACGAAGGUCCAUGGCUGUUUCAACUCGGAAGUUGAGAUGAAGAACUCCAAGAACAUCUCUUGAUCUUGGAUAAGUUGGUUGAUGGUCAAGAACUAAAGGAUGAGCUCCAAAGUCUUGAUGACUUUCUUGGUGAACUGCAAGAAAGGCAGCAGCACCAAUAAAGACACCUGAGCCGAGGGUGCAUUGGAGAAAAAGAGACAUUGAUGGAAAUAUUGUCUAUGCAAGGCCAAGGUCAAGCAGGAAUCAACAAAAGAAAGCUGAUCACAUUCGGAACACUGAUCCUCCCAAUGCUCCUGACACUCAUUGUGAGGUGGCCUUUGCUCCAGAGACUGUUGUUGUGUACUUCAAUGUGUUUAAAUUACAGAAUAUGACAGUGGGUUAUAAGAGUGUAUUCACUGAACGAUUUCUCAAGUAAUGACGCAUCACCUCCUGGAACCCCAAGAGAUCCUCUUCAGGCUUCCUCAAACUGGAGCACACACAAAUUCUCUUUUCAGAGAGGUGGAGGGCAGAGAGACCCUGUCUGCUGAACACGGCUGUGGCACAAGAAAAUGUGGCAGCACAUUUGCCAGAGUGUGGGAGAAGCCCAAGCUGUUAUCCAGUGUUGUGACUGACGACCUCGUCCCUUCUUCUGUGCUGAAUUUGACGUCAUCAUGUCCUCCAUAGCAGAGAUGCCAUGACUGCUGGAUUCUUCCAGCCAUUGCCUCCAACAACUGCUGUGGUGGAUAAGGCUCUUUCCCAUUGUGAGUCAUUAAGUGUCUGUCCAGGAAAGACA